AUUGAACGCUGGCGGCAGGCCUAACACAUGCAAGUCGAACGAGUGGCGGACGGGUGAGUAAUGUCUGGGAAACUGCCCGAUGGAGGGGGAUAACUACUGGAAACGGUAGCUAAUACCGCAUACCAUCGGAUGUGCCAAGAUGGGAUUAGCUUGUAGGUGAGGUAACGGCUCACCUAGGCGACGAUCCCUAGAUGGUCUGAGAGGAGGACCAGGCAGAAGUGAACGGAGACACGGUCCAGACUGCUACGGGAUGCAGCAGUGGGGAAUAUUGCACAAUGGGCGCAAGCCUUAUGAAGCCAUGCCGCGGUUAUGAAGAAGGCCUUCGGGUUGUAAAGUACGUUCAGCGGGGAGGGGUUACCCGCAGAAGAAGCACCGGCGAACUCCGUGCCAGCAGCCGCGGUAAGUC
rnacentral:rRNA from 1 species